rnacentral:rRNA from 1 species
GAGUACGAUCGCAAGAUUAAAACUCAAAGGAAUUGACGGGGCCCCGCACAAGCAGCGGAGCAUGCGGCUUAAUUCGACGCAACGCGAAGAACCUUACCAAGGCUUGACAUAUACAGGAAUAUGGCAGAGAUGUCAUAGCCGCAAGGUCUGUAUACAGGUGGUGCAUGGUUGUCGUCAGCUCGUGUCGUGAGAUGUUGGGUUAAGUCCCGCAACGAGCGCAACCCUCGUUCUGUGUUGCCAGCAUUUAGUUGGGGACUCACAGGAGACUGCCGGGGUUAACUCGGAGGAAGGUGGGGAUGACGUCAAAUCAUCAUGCCCCUUAUGUCUUGGGCUGCACGCAUGCUACAAUGGCUGGUACAAACGGCUGCGAUACCGCAAGGUGGAGCGAAUCCGAUAAAGCCAGUCUCAGUUCGGAUUGGGGUCUGCAACUCGACCCCAUGAAGUCGGAGUUGCUAGUAAUCGUAGAUCAGCAACGCUACGGUGAAUACGUUCCCGGGGCUUGUACACACCGCCCGUCACAUCACGAAAGUCGGUAACACCCAAAGUCAGUGGCCCAACCGCAAGGAGGGAGCUGCCAAAGGUGGGAUCGGUGAUUGGGAUGAAGUCGUAACA